UUAACCUAAAUUAUUUUAAUUUACAGAAUGCCCACUUGGUUUUUCGGAUUCAAAUGUACUGGUAUCUGUAGUAGAACAUGUGCUACGCCAGGCCGCCCAGACCUGUUUACAGGGACUUGCUUUGAUGGAUGUUUACCAGGAUUCUCGGGAGAUCGAUGUCUCAAUGAAUGCCCCUUAGGUUAUUAUGGGUUCAACUGCACAAGUGUCUGUAGUAAAACAUGUUCAACGCCAAGUGUUUGUGACCGAUUUACGGGGAAAUGCUUUGAUGGAUGUUUACCGGGAUUCUCGGGAGAUCGCUGUCUCAAU